rnacentral:rRNA from 1 species
UACAGAGGUGGCAAGCGUUGUUCGGAAUUACUGGGCGUAAAGGGCGCGUAGGCGGCCUACUAAGUCAGACGUGAAAUCCCCCGGCUUAACCUGGGAACUGCGUCUGAUACUGGAAGGCUUGAGGAUGGGAGAGGGAUGUAGAAUUCCAGGUGUAGCGGUGAAAUGCGUAGAUAUCGGGAGGAACACCUGUGGCGAAAGCGGCUCACUGGACCACAACUGACGCUGAGGAGCGAAAGCGUGGGGAGCGAACAGG